UAUGGUAUUGGGCGCCGCCGCGGUAAUACGUAUGGAGCAAGCGUUAUCCGGAUUUACUGGGUGUAAAGGGUGCGUAGGUGGCAGUGCAAGUCAGAUGUGAAAGGCCGGGGCUCAACCCCGGAGCUGCAUUUGAAACUGCUCGGCUAGAGUACAGGAGAGGCAGGCGGAAUUCCUAGUGUAGCGGUGAAAUGCGUAGAUAUUAGGAGGAACACCAGUGGCGAAGGCGGCCUGCUGGACUGUUACUGACACUGAGGCACGAAAGCGUGGGGAGCAAACAGG
rnacentral:rRNA from 1 species